UNUGACUUGAGUGCAGAAGGGGAGAGUGGAAUUCCAUGUGUAGCGGUGAAAUGCGUAGAUAUAUGGAGGANCACCAGUGGCGAAAGCGGCUCUCUGGUCUGUCACUGACGCUGAGGCUCGAAAGCGUGGGUAGCGAACAGGAUUAGAUACCCUGGUAGUCCACGCCGUAAACGAUGAGUGCUAGGUGUUAGGCCCUUUCCGGGGCUUAGUGCCGGAGCUAACGCAAUAAGCACUCCGCCUGGGGAGUACGACCGCAAGGUUGAAACUCAAAGGAAUUGACGGGGGCCCGCACAAGCGGUGGAGCAUGUGGUUUAAUUCGAAGCAACGCGAAGAAUCUUACCAGGUCUUGACAUCCCGAUGCUAUUCUUAGAGAUAGGAAGUUACUUCGGUACAUCGGAGACAGGUGGUGCAUGGUUGUCGUCAGCUCGUGUCGUGAGAUGUUGGGUUAAGUCCCGCAACGAGCGCAACCCUUAUUGUUAGUUGCCAUCAUUAAGUUGGGCACUCUAGCGAGACUGCCGGUAAUAAACCGGAGGAAGGUGGGGAUGACGUCGAAUCAUCAUGCCCCUUAUGACCUGGGCUACACACGUGCUACA
rnacentral:rRNA from 1 species